UCGGAGUUCCAGAAGCCGACGAUCGGGCGGCCCAUUUGGGCCAGUCGUCCUGUAUCCUUCGGAAAGGGGAAACAGAGGGCAGAGAGCCUUCUGUCUGAUCAUGAUUCCACCCCUGGAGGAUCCCUACCUCCGUUCUGCCAGAAAACCCUCGAGAUUCGUGAUCGAGAGGAUCUCCUGGAUCAAAAGUUUCAAGAGAUAAACCGACGGAUC
rnacentral:lncRNA from 1 species